UUAUCAUCGCACAUCACAUUUAAAGCGCUGUCACUUAACAUGUUUCUCCAAGUUGUCUAAGUUAGUUAUAAAGUUGUGAAAAUGGUUUGCAUCCUUAUCCCCCACAAGCUACAGAUAACGAUGAUAUGAUAAAUGUAGGAGAUACGACGAAAUUAAGGACGUUUUCCUCCUAGCAAGCAGCCAAUGAGUUAUGCCUUCUAUGGAGAGGUGGUAAGAGACGAAUAUGGAGGCAAGAGAAGCAGCCAUGCAGCCAGAGGAAGUACAGCUUUGUCAGCGGCAGAGCUUCUGCAAGUGAGGAUGUCAGUCAGAGGGCUACAGUAGGUUCAUGACUCCAAACAUGUGCCUGAAGCUGUGAGGCUGGAAUAUGCACAAAAGCAGACAGAAACACACAUGAAGCCCUCUGCCAGAAACUCAGCCUUUAAAUCAGAUGGUCAUCUUGCCUUCACUCUGACACAGAGAAAGGUGCCUUUGGACUUGGCUGAGGUCAGCGGCGGAGGAGUACGCCACGCUGAGAGGUGUGAUGUGGCUCUGUUGGUUUGACCCACACCUGCUGCGUAUCCUUCAUUCAAGCAUGUGGAGGGUCAGGGAGAGCAGAGGAGUUAAACAAGGAGGGCCAUGAGGCAGAUGACUUACAGUAGGGACUACAGAAACAGGACCAAAACAAAUAAACUUCAACCAAUAUCCACUCACCAGCUUUGGACUACAAAGAAGGUCCUUUCAGCAGAACUGGUUUGAGUCUUUUGAAUGGUUGGAUCACUCUGUUUGCACAAAUACCACAUUUUGCUACGCUUGCAGGCUCUGUGGGAAGCAUCCCUCGUGAAUCAACAAAGAUUCUCUGAUUAAUAAAGUAGGCUUUUCAAAUUGGAAUCAAGCUUUGGAAAGUUUCAGUGAGCAUGAAACAAGUUCAGGACACAAGGCCUCAAUGCUUGCUUUGAAGAAUUACAGAGCCAGUUCAAUACAAGGCAAUGUUAUUGAGCAAAUGAAUGUGGCACAUGUUAGUGAAAUAAUUGAAAGACAAGAAUAUUUGCACCGUAUUGUUGCUGGAAGGCAAGGCAUUUCUUUCUGUGGUCAUAGGGGUCAUUAGGGGAACUUUUUAGAAUUGAUGAAGCUCCUGGAGCAAUUCGACCCCUUCCUCCAAAACUACAAAGUUCCCCUCUAAUACAACCUAUCUGUCUCCUUCAUCUCAAAAUGAGAUUAUAGAGUGUUGCACAGAUGAAGUGACCUCAAGUAUAGUUGAAGAGCUGAAGUAAUCAAAAAUGUAUGCAGUGCUGGCUGAUCAGGUAAGGGAUGGUCAUGUCGAGCAGCUUGACGUUUAUGUGCGUUAUGUCACAACUAACAGCACAAUCAAAGAGCGCUUCAUUGAGCUGUCCAACCUCAACGGUUUUAAAUCAGAGUCAAUCACAGAUGCUAUCAAACACCAGAAUCAAAGGGUUUCAAUAAUCUUCUGUGUGUGGCUCAAACUUUAUGGUGCAUCUGUGAUGAGUGGUGGAGUUAGAGGAGUUCAAGCUCACUUCCGUGAGAAACACCCUGAAGCAGUUUAUGUUCAUUGCUAUGCACAUGAACUGAAUUUGCUACUCUGCGACACUUGCAGGGCUGUGGCCAGAAGCCAAUGGCUUUUUUGAAACUUCGGGUAAUGUUUUUUCCUUUUCCAUUGUUUCAGUUGUGAAUCAUCAAACAUUCCUUGACACACACAAACACUUGGGCUUGGAGAAGAGUGAAUUUGUCCAGCUAUCUAACACUAGAUGGGCAUGCCAGCUGCAUUCAGUGAAAGUUGCGCUUGAAAAUCUCACUGCUCUCUCAAGGUGCCUAGAAAGAAUUGCAACACCCACCAGAGUCGGACUUCUGUCAAAACUCUCCACAUUUUUUACAAUGUGUACGUGCUUGUGAUGUUCAGGAGUAUACUGUGCUGUCCACCACAGAGGGGCCCCAUGAGUAUCUUCAGAAGGAGUCUGCGGACUUGGCACAAGGGACACUCUACAAAGAUGCAGUGCUUGAAACACUGACAUCAAUGCGGAGUGAUGAAAUGGCAGCAAAGUUCUACAAGGAGGCAAAAGGCAUUUGUGAGUCCAACAAUAUCUCAGAGACCCUAUCAGGUCACCGGCGCAAGCAGAGGCAGAUGGAUGACUAGACAAGGCCUCCUUGUGGUACUGAAGACCAGCUGAGACAGAAAAUUUCUAUCCAUAUCCUGAUUGCAUGAUAAGUAAGCUGAACAACAGAUUUUCUGGUUUGGGGGUAGAGCUAAUAGAGGAUUCAAGCUUGCAACCCAGCAGCGGAUGGCUUCCUCACUGGAGAUUCUCUAAGCCUUAUUGCAACACAUUACAACAUCACACUUGAUGAAGAGGAGAUGUGUUGUAGAAAAAAACUUCUUGGCAAAGAAAAGGAAAGAGGGUGACAUCUCUGACAAGUGCAGUGUGAACAAGCUCCUUGACCCUGACAUGUUCCCCUCCCUGAGCUUAGUUUUUCAAGCAGCGCUAAUAAUACCCGUUAGCAGUUCCAGUUGUGAGUGCUUAUUUAGUGCACUGCGUCGUCUCCACUCAUGGCUAAGGCGAACAAUGGGCCAGGACAGACUCAAUCAUUCAGCAGUUUUGUCAAUAGAGGAAGAGAUUCUCAGUGGCAUAGAUUCUAAAAUGAUCAUUGAUCGGUUCGCUAAAGUCAAGUCAAGGAGGUACUCCUUAAUGAUUCUCUCACCCUCUAAGAAGUAAAGCAAUGGGACAGUAAAUGAGCAGACAAAAAAAGACAAGAAAAGUAUCAGAAACAGACACAAAAACAAGGAAGAAGAAACAAUCAGAAACAUUAAUUGCAGACAGAAAGGAAGAGAGGCAGAAAAAAGAUCAAAAGAAAAAUCUGGACAAGACAAAAUGGAACAGUAAAGGAGGAUGGACUGAUAGCAAGAAGAGAGAACAUGAAAAAGAUGAGACAACAAAGACAGACAGUAGUAGAGUAGAGGAGGAAAGACCAGAAUGGAGACUGACAAGAUACAUUAGCACCAACUGUAGAAAAUAGGGGUGUGACAAUAUAUUGUAAUAUCGAAAUAUCUCAGUAUGAAAAUUUGACAAAAUGUAUUGUUGACACGAAAAAAUGUGUUGUGACAUCAGCUCAUCUAUUACUUCUUAAUUUUACCUCUAAUGAUACCAGCAAAACUGCCUUGAGAAUGUCACUCAGCAAAACUUUUUAUUGUCAUUUAUGACAAGAUUAUAAGGCUAUAACAUGUUACCAUAAUACAACAUUUUGUUCACAAUUUCAUAAGAAAUGGAAAUACAGUGAAAACGGCAUUGUUAUGCAUCCUUUAAGCCUUUAAAAUAAUAGAAAAUCUUUUUUCAAUCAUACAUUUUCUUUAUUCAAGUUUUGUUCCAGGUAUAGUGAGAAUAUCGAAUCUUAUAUCUUGUGUCUUGUAUCUUGUAUCGUAUCAAAUCGUGUAUCAAGUAUAUCGUCACACCCCUAGCUAGUAGAGAAGGGAAGCCAAACAACCCCCAGCUGCCCACAGACACCCCUACAAGGUCUGAGGUAAGCCCCAGAUGUAUUGGGCCAAGCCCCAGAUGUUUUCAAGUCCUAGAAAUGUCCCUGGUCUGAGCCCAUGUGGUUCUGAUAAAAAUCAAGAAUCAAGAAAAUAGGUAACAUUUCUGCCAAAAAAAGCAGUGGACUAAUGGUCACAGCAUCCCUGGUUCGAUUCUGGUUCAAGAUCUUUGUUGCAUGACAUCCGCCUUGCUCUCUCUCCACAUUUCCUAUCAGUCUCUCAACAGUCAAAUAAAGACCAAAACAAACAUUUAUCAGUUAUCAGUAAUUUAUCACUUGUGUCUUACAAAAAAAUACUAACAUGAGAGUAUUUGUGGGAUUCCUUUCUCACUCCUCACAAACAAACACAGACUCCCACCUCCAAGCAUAUAACAGAGACAGGAACACAGGUGUGAGAUGUAGGCAGUGAUUAUGGUUAAUAUUGAACACAUAUAUUUGUGUGUGUGUGUGUGUGUGUGUGUGUGUGUGUGUGUG